rnacentral:rRNA from 1 species
GACGAACGCUGGCGGCGUGCUUAACACAUGCAAGUCGAACGGAAAGGCCCUGCUUUUGUGGGGUGCUCGAGUGGCGAACGGGUGAGUAACACGUGAGUAACCUGCCCUUGACUUUGGGAUAACUUCAGGAAACUGGGGCUAAUACCGGAUAGGAGCUCCUGCUGCAUGGUGGGGGUUGGAAAGUUUCGGCGGUUGGGGAUGGACUCGCGGCUUAUCAGCUUGUUGGUGGGGUAGUGGCUUACCAAGGCUUUGACGGGUAGCCGGCCUGAGAGGGUGACCGGCCACAUUGGGACUGAGAUAAGGCCCAGACUCCUACGGGAGGCAGCAGUGGGGAAUAUUGCACAAUGGGCGGAAGCCUGAUGCAGCAACGCCGCGUGCGGGAUGACGGCCUUCGGGUUGUAAACCGCCUUCGCCUGUGACGAAGCGUGAGUGACGGUAAUGGGUAAAGAAGCACCGGCUAACUACGUG